rnacentral:rRNA from 1 species
AACGAACGUUAGCGGCGCGCCUAAUACAUGCAAGUCGAACGAGAAGGGCUUCGGCCCGGAAAGUGGCGCACGGGUGAGUAACACGUAGGUCAUCUGCCCUCGAGUGGUGGAUAACUCCCCGAAAGGGGUGCUAAUACAGCAUGACACCGUUUCGUUGUUGACGAAGCGGUCAAAGCGGGCCUCUCCUUGGAAGCUCGCGCUGGAGGAUGAGCCUGCGGCCCAUCAGGUAGUUGGCGGGGUAAUAGCCCACCAAGCCUAAGACGGGUAGCUGGUCUGAGAGGAUGAACAGCCACACUGGAACUGAGACACGGUCCCAGACUCCUACGGGAGGCAGCAGUAGGGAAUCUUGCGCAAUGGGCGAAAGCCUGACGCAGCGACGCCGCGUGAGCGAUGAAGGCCUUCGGGUUGUGAAAGCUCUGUAGGAGAGAGAAGAAUGAGUGCAAGCUAAUACCUUGCGCGAUGACGGUAUCUCUUUAGCAAGCACCGGCUAACUCUGUGCCAGCAGCCGCGGUAAG